rnacentral:RNase_P_RNA from 1 species
GAAGCUUGCCAGACCGCCGCUGGUGCAAUCUGGGAAACCAGGCACUGGAGGAACGUCCGGACUGCACAGGGCAGCGUAGGAGGUAACACCUCUCCACCGUGAGGUGAGGAUUAGAGCAACAGAGACGAGCCGAUUCAGUUCGGGUGAAACGGGCAAUCUCUACGCGCAGCAAUACCAAGUAGGCACACGUUGACGGGGCCCCCGGAGUGUGCGGGUAGGUAGCAUUGAGCCGGGUGGGCGACCCCCGGCCCAGAUUAAUGGCGGUCACACCGGGCCAACUUGCUUUCGGGCAAGAAAGCCUGGCGCACAAAAUCCGGCUUAUCGGCGGGCUUCACAC